rnacentral:snoRNA from 1 species
UUUUCUAAUGAUGAUACAACAUUUUAUAACAGUUAUCCCUGUCAGACAUGGUAACAAUUCCAUGGUGUAAAAACUUAUCUGAAAGAAAA